rnacentral:rRNA from 1 species
UACAGAGGUGGCAAGCGUUGUUCGGAAUUACUGGGCGUAAAGGGCGCGUAGGCGGCUUUUUAAGUCAGACGUGAAAUCCCCCGGCUUAACCUGGGAACUGCGUCUGAUACUGGGAAGCUUGAGUUCGGGAGAGGGAUGUAGAAUUCCAGGUGUAGCGGUGAAAUGCGUAGAUAUCAGGAGGAACACCGGUGGCGAAGGCGGGAUCCUGGGCCAGUACUGACGCUGAGGAGCGAAAGCGUGGGGAGCAAACAGG